GUGGCGACAACGAUACAAUGAUCGAAAGAAUAAAACGCUAGGAAGUACUGCAAGAUUGUUGCGAUUCAUAUGAAGAUUUUCUACACUUCACUCGAGAGUCGGCUUCUCAUUCUUGAUGAAUGAGGUUAUGCGGCAUGGGAGGACACAUAGCAUAUGAUCAUGCGCGAGGAAUAACGUUACCCAGGACGGUUGAUUUCCUUAGAAAAUAGCUUAGCUGCAGCAGCUCUCAGUGUGUAACAACUGUCAAAAUGAGAUGACUGUAUUGAACUAUUUAACUAUUUAACUCACUGUGUGUAGAUUCAACUUUUGCAGAACGCAUCUUGAAGGAUUGAUCUUUGACGCGGUUUUAACGUGUAUUUUUGUAUUCAAACUUCUACUCACAAACUUCCGGGUCUUUGCAGUAGUCUUCAGAAAAGGUGAGUCCCCAGUCUGUCGUGGUCUCCUUGUGAGAGGCUGUCAUCAUGGCAUCAGCCAAGCUGAAGUACCUCUCUCUGGGGAUCCUGGUGUUCCAGACCACGUCACUGGUUCUCACCAUGCGUUACUCGCGCACCUUGCAAGGCGACGGGCCACGUUACCUGGCCUCCUCUGCUGUGGUGGUGGCAGAGUUCCUCAAGAUCCUCACCUGUGUGGGGCUUGUCUUCAAAGAUCAUAGUUACAGUGGCCGAGCGCUAAGCAGUAUUUUGAGACAAGAGAUUCUACAUAAGCCUAUAGAGACACUGAAGCUGGCGAUUCCUUCAGGGAUCUACACGCUACAGAAUAACCUGCUUUACGUAGCACUGUCCAACCUUGAUGCGGCUACCUACCAGGUGACAUACCAGUUGAAAAUCCUGACCACAGCCCUGUUUUCAGUUUCUAUGCUGGGCCGCAGGCUCGGGGUAUACCAGUGGUUGUCUCUGCUGAUUCUUAUGGCCGGCAUUGCACUUAUACAAUGGCCAGCAGACUCCCCGUCAGACCCGCAGAAAGAGCAACUGACUCCAGGCUCACAGUUUGUCGGGCUGGUGGCCGUGUUGGUGGCCUGUUGCUCUAGUGGGUUUGCUGGUGUCUACUUUGAGAAGAUCCUUAAAGAGACCAAGCAGAGUGUUUGGGUCCGAAACAUCCAGCUUGGCAUGUUUGGUCUGGUUUUUGGGAUCUUCGGGAUGUUGGCCUACGAUGGUGACCGAGUCCGAGAACACGGAAUGUUUCAGGGCUACAACACGCUGACCUGGAUUGUGGUCGCUCUCCAAGCUCUUGGAGGGCUCGUGAUAGCUGCUGUCAUCAAGUAUGCUGACAACAUACUGAAAGGCUUUGCUACAUCACUCUCAAUUAUCCUCUCCACAUUCAUUUCAUAUUUCUGGCUUGAGGAUUUUGAGCCUACCAGUGUGUUCUUCCUGGGCACAGUAAUGGUCAUAAUGGCGACGUUUCUCUAUGGAUAUGAGAGCAAGCCGGCACCCAACCCAAGCAGGGCAUGAAAAGUGGAUGGAUGAGGUUGAAGUGGAGUGGAACAAAAGAACGACAGAGAGGAGAAGAGGAGAGAAGGGGUAUAGAGUGGAAAACAGGAUUGAUACAAGAUCUGUGUGCAGGAGAGGAAAUGAGAAGGGGAAACUAUUUGCACAUUUUGGAAUGAAAUCUUUCCCUCUGCUCCUGUUGGUCAUCCCUCUUCUACACCCCAGCCAGCCAAAGCGAAUCCACAAAUGAAAUGUCCUGGAACAAGUGAAAAAGGUUCUUUAUAUACUUUUCUAAAACAACAAACAUG